GAUGAACGCUGGCGGCAUGCCUAAUACAUGCAAGUCGAACGAGAGGAAGGAAAGCUUGCUUUUCUGAAUCUAGUGGCGAACGGGUGAGUAACACGUAGGUAACCUGCCCAUGUGCCCGGGAUAACUUCUGGAAACGGAUGCUAAAACCGGAUAGGUAGCAGACAAGCAUUUGACUGCUAUUAAAGUGGCUAAGGCCAUGAACAUGGAUGGACCUGCGGUGCAUUAGCUAGUUGGUGAGGUAACGGCCCACCAAGGCGACGAUGCAUAGCCGGCCUGAGAGGGCGGACGGCCACAUUGGGACUGAGACACGGCCCAAACUCCUACGGGAGGCAGCAGUAGGGAAUUUUCGUCAAUGGGGGGAACCCUGAACGAGCAAUGCCGCGUGAGUGAAGAAGGUCUUCGGAUUGUAAAGCUCUGUUGUAAGAGAAAAACGACAUUCAUAGGGAAUGAUGAGUGAGUGAUGGUAUCUUACCAGAAAGUCACGGCU
rnacentral:rRNA from 1 species